rnacentral:rRNA from 1 species
AGGCGGACGGGUGAGUGACGCGUAUGAAUCUGCCUAGUAGUGGGGGGACAACCCCGGGGAGAUCCGGGCUAAUACCGCAUACGCCCUACGGGGGAAAGGAGGGGAUCUCUUCGGAGACCUUUCGCUAUUAGAUGAGCCUGCGUCGGAUUAGCUAGUUGGUAGGGUAAUGGCCUACCAAGGCGACGAUCCGUAGCUGGUCUGAGAGGACGAUCAGCCACACUGGGACUGAGACACGGCCCAGACUCCUACGGGAGGCAGCAGUGGGGAAUAUUGCACAAUGGGCGCAAGCCUGAUGCAGCAAUGCCGCGUGUGUGAAGAAGGCCUGCGGGUUGUAAAGCACUUUCAAUUGGGAAGAAAAGGGGUUGGAUAAUACCCGACUUUCUUGACGUUACCUUUAGAAGAAGCACCGGCUAACUCCGUGCCAGCAGCCGCGGUAAUACGGAGGGUGCGAGCGUUAAUCGGAAUUACUGGGCGUAAAGCGUGCGUAGGUGGUUAGGUCAGUCAGAUGUGAAAGCCCCGGGCUUAACCUGGGAACUGCAUUUGAUACUGCCUGGCUAGAGUGUGGUAGAGGGAAGUGGAAUUCCGGGUGUAGCGGUGAAAUGCGUAGAUAUCCGGAGGAACACCGGUGGCGAAGGCGGCUUCCUGGACCGACACUGACACUGAGGCACGAAAGCGUGGGUAGCAAACAGGAUUAGAUACCCUGGUAGUCCACGCCGUAAACGAUGUCAACUAGCCGUU